GAUGAGUAUAGUUGGUGAUGAUA
rnacentral:siRNA from 1 species